UACGGGGGGGGCAAGCGUUGUUCGGAAUUACUGGGCGUAAAGGGCUCGUAGGUGGCCAACUAAGUCAGACGUGAAAUCCCUCGGCUUAACCGGGGAACUGCGUCUGAUACUGGAUGGCUUGAGUUUGGGAGAGGGAUGCGGAAUUCCGCGUGUAGCAGUGAAAUGCGUAGAUAUGCGGAGGAACACCGAUGGCGAAGGC
rnacentral:rRNA from 1 species